UCCCAUUUGUAAGUUGCACUCAUCUCUAUCUGUUCAAGAUUUAGCGCCAACAAUUUGCGUUUUAUAAAUAUAAAGUGAAGGUCUUGGGAUAAUUUGUUCAUGAUCCAAUUCUAUCAAUAUAUGUUUUGCAAAUUUCUGCAUAGUGUACCAAAUCUUAAGUGAAGGCACUUAACUGUUAUCAUGACAUGGUAUUCUUCAGCAUCGCAGUGUGGUUUUAAGAUGUUCACUAGGGCUGCUGCAAGAAAGUUUUUCACUAACAUCCGUUUGAACAGGUCAUGCAUAUCUCAACCAUCUGAAAAAAAAAAAUUUAAAUAAAAAAGUGGACAGGCAAUGUUCAAAUAAUUAUAUAUAAUGCAAGAGACGUGUGCAGGUGAUGAUCCUAAAUUAUUAACAACGGGCUAAUUUAAUUGUGCAUGCAUAUAUGAUAUACCACUUUCUUUUUCUGCAAUAUGCUCGUGCAUGUCACGUGCUCUGUGUA